CGGCGAGCUUGAGCAGGGAGUUCUUUGGCGUGAGUGAACAGGAUCAUGUAUUACAUCAUCACAGGACAGCUGGCUGCCAGCAUCAUGACUGAUGAUGCUAAUUAUGGCAAGAGCACUCAGACGUUCUUGUGCCAUCAAGGAUCUGAGGAUUUACACAAGCUCCGGUCUGGAUCCAGAACACCUGAGAAGAGAUGAUGCUGACCCUCAGAGGACCUCAGAUGAUGCUAACCCUGAAUCAACAAACAGAACUAACAAAUAUUACUACAAGUGUGAUUGCAUCAUAUAAUUAUUGCUGUUAAUAGUGUUUAUCGUCUGGUUGACUACGUCUUGUAUUAAUUUUUUGAAAAUUUCUGUCAUAUGCACAUAACCUGACAGUCACCACUGAUAAGUGACUACUAUAUAUUUUAGAAAAUUCAUUUUCUGUAUAGUUGCUUUGCAAUGAUUUGUAUCGUAAAAAGCACUAUAAAAAUAAAUACACUUGAAUCGAAUUGAAUUGAAUAAACUGAUCUUAACAGGA